rnacentral:rRNA from 1 species
UACGAAGGGGGCUAGCGUUGUUCGGAAUCACUGGGCGUAAAGGGCGCGUAGGCGGCCGAUCAAGUCGGGGGUGAAAGCCUGUGGCUUAACCACAGAAUGGCCUUCGAUACUGUUUGGCUUGAGACCGGAAGAGGUUAGUGGAACUGCGAGUGUAGAGGUGAAAUUCGUAGAUAUUCGCAAGAACACCAGUGGCGAAGGCGGCUUACUGGUCCGGUUCUGACGCUGAGGCGCGAAAGCGUGGGGAGCAAACAGG